AUUGAACGCUGGCGGCAUGCUUUACACAUGCAAGUCGAACGGCAGCGCGGUCUUCGGCCUGUCGGCGAGUGGCGAACGGGUGAGUAAUACAUCGGAACGUGCCCAGUCGUGGGGGAUAGCUCGGCGAAAGCCGGAUUAAUACCGCAUACGACCUGAUGGUGAAAGCGGGGGAUCUUCGGACCUCUCGCUAUAGGAGCGGCCGAUGGCAGAUUAGCUAGUUGGUGGGGUAAUGGCCUACCAAGGCGACGAUCUGUAGCUGGUCUGAGAGGACGACCGGCCACACUGAGAGUGAGCGACGGCACUGACUCCUACGGGAGGCAGAGGUGGGGAAGUUUGGAAGAUGGGGGAAAGACUGAUCAAGCAAUGCAGGGUGUGUGCUGAGGGGCUUCGGGUUGUAAAGCAGUUUUGGCGGGAAAGAAACGGACUGUGAGAAAAGAACGGUUCGAUGACGGUACCUGCAGAAUAAGCACCGGCUAACUACGUG
rnacentral:rRNA from 1 species